UGUGCCUAUGAUGUACAUAAAUAAUUAGCAUGGUUUAUUUCACAUGCAAUAAAAAUACAGUAAAAAAUCGUGUGAGAGCUAAAGCUGUGGUUCAUCCAUAAAAAUGUUCUCAAAAGAUGUUUUAAAAGAUGGCAAGCAUUGUAUAGCCUUGUAAAUAUUAUUCUUUGAGUUAUACUGUUUAGAAAACUGUCAAUUUUUUCAAGGUUUCCCCUUUUAUUCAUGGAUCAGUCCCCUUCAGGUUUCAUAGCGUGAGCUCGGAUUUUGUAGCAUAUGUUUUUGCAAAAAUAUUUUGUAGUAUCAAGUCACUGUGUGUUCAGAUUUAGAAGUAUACAUUCGUAAAAAGGUGUCACAGUAUCAAAGUACUGCGUGCUCAGGUUUCGCAGUAUAUUUUAGUAGAAAGGUUUAGUAGUAUCAAAUCAUUGUGUGUUCGGAUUUCAUAGGUUUCGUAGUAUUUGUUCAGGUUUCAUAGCAUUUGUUCAGAUCUCGGUGUUAAUUUUUUUUCCUACUUGUUUCAGCAUACAUCCACCAAAUCGUGGAUCAGAUGGCAGCUGAGAAGGAACAGCAGCAGCAGCUUCAGAUACAUUUUCUUUAUCAUAGUACUGUGUAGCUGUUAGACAUAUUAUCGUGUCUGCUUAAAAAAAUUCAUCACAUACAUAAUAUGAUGUCUGAAGCAUAUUCUUCGUUAUUGUUGUAGAUGAUUUCAAGGAGUAGGAGCAGGAAUGGGCAGAGGUUGUGGCGCCAUAUGAGUCACUGCUAUCAAACCUCGAGCGAUGGAUCCACAGUGGUUUGGGCAAGGAGAUGCUUGAGUUGGUGGAGGAGAUGCAGAAGGAGCUACGUCGAAAUGGGGAGAUGCCAGAAGACCUGAAGGAUACCGCACAGAGCCUGACAGAGAUAGAACCAUUGUUCAUGUAGUAUACAAUGGCGCAAGUACCGAGGGCGGUGAAGGUAGAACUGUAGAAGAGGUUCUGAGUGGCAUGCUGCACCAUGUACAAUGAGCCUCAUCAGUGCACAGGAAGCUGCUGCUGCCCCAGCAGUCACAGCCAAAGUCGCCACUGCCUCCGCCCCUGUCUCCACCACCGUCACACCAACCUUUUUCUGGAGUCCAUGAGCCAUCCUCCUUCCAGCAUCUGGCUCAUUUGACUUGCAUUUCUCCAGGCCAUAAACAUGAAGCAAUGUUCUGGUACUCCGUGCCUCAAAUUCAGAACAGCAGAACAAGCAGGAUAAACAUACUGUCGUCAGACCCUCCAUUUCUCAAAAUUUUUCAGUAAGUGUAAGUGCAUGUGAACGCUUUGUUAUUCUUAGCUGAGGAAAUUAAGGAGAAAGGCAAUUAUCAUUUUGUUUGUAUCUAGGACCUGACUCCUUACCUCCCAACUAAGUAAAUGUAAGGAUAUACAGCAUAUUGGAUUAAGGUGUCCCAAUGUCUUUUCGCCAGAAAAGUUAUUAGGAAACUAUCUAGUAGACUGCACUUCAAACAAUUCAGUACGUGUUAUGCCUAUUGAAGAAAACAUAUUCGUAAAGCUUAAGAAUAUUCACCAUCAGGAGCGUUACCCAUUUGUGGUGUAUGCCAACUUGGAAUGCCUCCUCGUUCUUGUGACCCACUAUAAAGGUGACCCUACAUAUUAUCUUUACGGGAAAACACGUACACUGUGCUGCAAUCUAAAGUCGACCUGUCGCCUCAUGACGAUAGUCGCCUCAUGACGAUAAAAGGGUCAUUUGUGAUUACAGGAAUGAAAUUCUCCCAUACUCAAACUAUUCGCAUUUUGAGAGAGCGUAGGUGAAAAGACUCUGACGGAAUGAGAGGACGAGAAUGAGAUUGGGUGAUACUGCAGAAUAAUAUGAUCCUUUUAUCAUAGUGUAAGUAAUUUUGUGUGUAUAUGUGUGAUGUAAAUAUUUAUUUAUUCAUGGAAAGCAUGUGUGUGAGGAAUGUGUGCUGUGUGCACUUGUAAAAACAUAUAUCUUGCAAGGGAAAUCUACACAUCAUGCUGA